rnacentral:rRNA from 1 species
UACGUAGGUGGCGAGCGUUGUCCGGAUUUACUGGGCGUAAAGGGUGCGUAGGCGGCGCGGUAAGUCGGGUGUGAAAUCUUGGAGCUUAACUCCGAAACUGCAUUCGAUACUGCCGUGCUUGAGGACUGGAGAGGAGACUGGAAUUUACGGUGUAGCGGUGAAAUGCGUAGAUAUCGUAAGGAAGACCAGUGGCGAAGGCGGGUCUCUGGACAGUUCCUGACGCUGAGGCACGAAGGCCAGGGGAGCAAACGGG